rnacentral:lncRNA from 1 species
CUCUGUUCACGGAAAGGGCCUGGGAGCAGCAACACCUCAACAGCAACGAGCACACCUGCUACCUAGAACCUGGUUUCUAAAAACCAUCCUCCUCUAAAAGAAAACAGGGCUCUUUGAAGAAAUG